rnacentral:rRNA from 1 species
AAUUUUGCACAAGUGGCGCAAGCCUGAUCCAGCCAUGCCGCGUGAGUGAAGAAUGCCUUCGGGUUGUAAAGCUCUUUCGGACGGAAAGAAAUCGCGCAGGCAAAUGCCCUGCGCGGAUGACGGUACCGUCAUAAGAAGCAUCGGUCCACCACGCGCCAGCCGCCGCGGUAAUACGUAGGUUGCGAGCUUUAAUCGGAAUUACUUGGCGUAAAGCGUGCGCAGGCGGUUGAUUAAGACAGGCGUGAAAUCCCCGGGCUUAACCUGGGAACUGCGCUUGUGACUGGUCAGCUAGAGUACGGCAGAGGGGGGUGGAAUUCCACGUGUAGCAGUGAAAUGCGUAGAGAUGUGGAGGAACACCGAUGGCGAAGGCAGCCCCCUGGGCCGAUACUGACGCUCAUGCACGAAAGCGUGGGUAGCAAACAGG